UACGGGGGGGCAAGCGUUGUUCGGAAUUACUGGGCGUAAAGGGCUCGUAGGCGGCCAACUAAGUCGGAUGUGAAAUCCCCAGGCUUAACCUGGGAACUGCAUCCGAUACUGAUGGCUUGAAUCCGGGAGAGGGAUGCAGAAUUCCAGGUGUAGCGGUGAAAUGCGUAGAUAUCUGGAGGAAUACCGGUGGCGAAGGCGGCAUCCUGGACCGGCAUUGACGCUGAUGAGCGAAAGCUAGGGGAGCAAACGGG
rnacentral:rRNA from 1 species